rnacentral:rRNA from 1 species
CGGAUUGUAGUCUGCAACCCGACUACAUGAAGCUGGAAUCGCUAGUAAUCGCAGGUCAGCAUACUGCGGUGAAUACGUUCCCGGGUCUUGUACACACCGCCCGUCACACCAUGGGAGCCGGAAAUGCCCGAAGCCAGUGACCCAACCUUAGGGAGGGAGCUGUCGAAGGUGGAGCCGGUAACUGGGGUGAAGUCGUAACAAGGUAAC